rnacentral:lncRNA from 1 species
CCCUAAACCAUCCAAGCGCCGUGCCGACGGGUCUUCGGAGUGCGCGCGCUCGAAGCGACCAAGCGGCAGCUAUUACCACCAGCGUCGGCGCAUUGUUCUGCCGUCGUUGGUGUCUCCCGCAGUUUUGAACAGCCAAGACUCCACGACUGCAGUCGUUUCAUUGCCAGCUGUGAGGAUGAAGCAGCUUCAUAGCCGGACAUCAGACGCCUUCCAAGUUCCCCUAUUAAGCAACAGAGGCCUAGGAUGCCAUUCUACCUGUGCUGCAUUGUGUGGCUGACCACUCCAAGGUUCUCAGCAGAAUCAUUACACAGGAAGAAGUCCUGCUGACCCCAAGCAUGGUGUGAAAUGAAGAAAUGGCACUCCACAUCCAUAGAGAGCUUGAUUUCCCC